rnacentral:rRNA from 1 species
UACGAAGGGGGCUAGCGUUGCUCGGAAUCACUGGGCGUAAAGGGUGCGUAGGCGGGUCUUUAAGUCAGGGGUGAAAUCCUGGAGCUCAACUCCAGAACUGCCUUUGAUACUGAAGAUCUUGAGUUCCGGGAGAGGUGAGUGGAACUGCGAGUGUAGAGGUGAAAUUCGUAGAUAUUCGCAAGAACACCAGUGGCGAAGGCGGCUUACUGGUCCGGUUCUGACGCUGAGGCGCGAAAGCGUGGGGAGCAAACAGG